GACGAACGCUGGCGGCGUGCUUAACACAUGCAAGUCGAGCGAUGAAAUACCUUCGGGUGCGGAUUAGCGGCGAACGGGUGAGGAACACGUGAGGAAUCUGCCUUCCACUCUGGGAUAACUCCGGGAAACCGGGGCUAAUACCGGAUACUUUCAACUGGCGGCAUCGCCGGUUGAAGAAAGUUUUUCGGUGGAAGAUGACCUCGCGGCCUAUCAGCUUGUUGGUGAGGUAAAGGCUCACCAAGGCGACGACGGGUAGCCGGCCUGAGAGGGCGACCGGGCACACUGGGACUGAGACACGGCCCAGACUCCUACGGGAGGCAGCAGUGGGGAAUAUUGGGCAAUGGAGGAAACUCUGACCCAGCGACGCCGCGUGAGGGAUGAAGGCCUUCGGGUUGUAAACCUCUUUCAGCAGGGAAUAAGCGAAAGUGAAGGUACCUGCAGAAGAAGCACCGGCUAACUAUGUGCCAGCCGCCGCGGUAA
rnacentral:rRNA from 1 species